rnacentral:rRNA from 1 species
GACGUAGGGCGCGAGCGUUGUCCGGAUUUAUUGGGCGUAAAGAGCUCGUAGGCGGCUUGUCGCGUCGUCCGUGAAAACUUGGGGGCUCAACCCCCAAGCUUGCGGUCGAUACGGGGCAGGCUCGAGUUCGGGUAGGGGAGACUGGAAUUCCUGGUGUAGCGGUGAAAUGCGCAGAUAUCAGGAGGAACACCGGUGGCGAAGGCGGUUCUCUGGGCAUGUUCUGACGCUGGAGGAGCGAAAGUGUGGGGAGGCGAACAGG